GAUGAACGCUGGCGGCGUGCCUAAUACAUGCAAGUCGAGCGAACGGACGAGAAGCUUGCUUCUCUGAUGUUAGCGGCGGACGGGUGAGUAACACGUGGAUAACCUACCUAUAAGACUGGGAUAACUUCGGGAAACCGGAGCUAAUACCGGAUAAUAUUUUGAACCGCAUGGUUCAAAAGUGAAAGACGGUCUUGCUGUCACUUAUAGAUGGAUCCGCGCUGCAUUAGCUAGUUGGUAAGGUAACGGCUUACCAAGGCAACGAUGCAUAGCCGACCUGAGAGGGUGAUCGGCCACACUGGAACUGGGACACGGUCCAGACUCCUACGGGAGGCAGCAGUAGGGAAUCUUCCGCAAUGGGCGAAAGCCUGACGGAGCAACGCCGCGUGAGUGAUGAAGGUCUUCGGAUCGUAAAACUCUGUUAAUAGGGAAGAACAUAUGUGUAAGGAACUGUGCACAUCUUGACGGUACCUAAUCAGAAAGCCACGGCUAACUACGUG
rnacentral:rRNA from 1 species